rnacentral:lncRNA from 1 species
CAAACAAAGUACGCUCGACAAGAGCACAUAAUAAGUAAUAGUAAAACAAGCCCGGGAAAGGUACACAAUAUCCAUACAAAAGCAUGAGCCCGAGAAGUGCACCAGUGAAGCAUCGUGUACAAAUAAAGUAUACUCCCUAAAGCUAUCCCCAACUAAAAAUACUUUUGUUUCCUCACUUCACUAUGUCAAGAUAAAAUAAAAAUAUUUUAAGGGUCUCUCUGAGGUCUGCAUCAGACUAAAAAACGGCGGAAGAGAGGUUAAUCACUGCCGUGAAGAACACUCGGCCUCAACAUCAUUGGUACCAUCAGCAUCAUCAUCACCAGGAUUCGACAUGAAGGAAUUCUCUUCGCAAUCAUCGCUUUCCUCAACUAGUAUCUUCUUGUUCGGUUACCUCCAUUUGAAGAUGCCCUUGAUGCCUCUCCACAUAUAUAUCAUAAACUUGAUCUUCUUCUUAUUUCUUACUUUCUCCUUUUGGAUGUCCGUCUGAAGAUGUACAUCUACCUUGUCCAUGUUGCCAUAGGCUACCUCUAUUCUACUAACAGAAGCUACCAAAUUCUCACGAGACUUUUGCUUUUUCUAGGAAUCUAGGUAGGUCUUAAUUUCUUUGCUGGUAAAAUACUCAGGCCUAGGCUGGGGUGUGAGGUUCCACUAGGGAGCUUUGACACUAAGUCACGGAUAGCGCCAAGUUGCAAGUUCCAUAUCCAAAUGGUCCAUCCAGCAAUGCUCCCUAUGAGGAUGAAUCUGGUUCGUCAAUACUGGUGAAUUUUCUUUUAUUACUCUUUACUCCACUACCCUCACCCAUUACUUUCAACAGAUGGAAGGGUUUGCAAGCUAAAAUUGCAAAGACAUUACUUUUUACCAAACGAGCCAGUUACCGCACCUGCGAAAAAAAUCAAUGCAGGUGUGGUUCCGUAUCUACGGUAUUUUGUUCGCUUUUACAAAAUUUCCCUAGCUGACCAAAAUUUGCACCUGCGGAAUUUACAUCGCAUGUGGGAUGCCGCAUCUGCAGUCCAUUUUGCGUAUCUACGAUGUUCAUCAGAGGAUUCAAAGGCCUAAAUUUUUUUGACUCUUUUCACUUCUAAGCAUGACUUUAGCACAUAAUUUAUACUAAAGAAUUCUAAAUUAGUGCAUUACAUGAACACACAACUUUAUUAAACAUGAUUUUAUGGUACUUAGCAAAAAAUAUUCUUUUGGGCAAUUUGUCGAACGCAUUACAAGCAGAGAAAAAGUUAUGCUUCAUCAAUCUAAUUUGGUACUUAGACUUUUCAAAUUUAUAUUUAAUCAUCAACAACACACAAAAACACAAUCUCAAUCACUCCUAAAACUAAAUUUGAUAUGAA